GAGGCCAGGAAGGCUGCCGGGGAGGUGGAAGACGAGGGUACCGAAGAGCUGGGGGCCGACGCGGAGACCCAACCCAGCAGCACUAGCGCCAGCCUUGCCAACCUCAGCCGUCCGUCCCCGGCGGAGGGGCCCCGGGAGCCCGCCCCAGGCAUCGCGGCUCGCGGUUCCCCGGAGCUGGGACAGCGCCCGCUCCGAAGACUCGACCGCCUGGGCCCGGCGGGCGCGAGCCGGCCGCAAGCGUCGACGGCAAACUUUCCUCGCGUGGGAGCAGAGGAGGGGACGCCAAAAGCUGGAACUUGGCUAACCCCGAGCCACCGGGCGUCCCCCUCCCGGAGCGGCACCCCGCCCUUCCCUCCAGUGAGUACGCACGGCGGGUCGGGACACGGGCCUUGGCGCUCCUCCUCCCGCCGCAGCUGGGGUGGGUGGCACCUCCUCAACUCCUUUGUUGGCGCCUCUCUCAGGGCAGGAUCGGAUGAGCGACCUGGGACAAGCGGGAGAGAAGCGUGAGGAGGAGUGACGGCCUCAGCUCUCAGAGUACGAACCAAGUUGUCCCCACACUAGCAACCCGGCCCAAGCUUCUGUGUGCGUCCUUCCUCCCUAGUGGGACGCGGUCCCCACUCCCAGGCGCUAAGCCUACCUCUUCCGGGCCCACACCAUCAGGACCCGGGCCACCUCCCGCCUGGCUCCUGCCCGGAUUGCCCUCCUCCCGCCUAGAACUUCACGCAGACCCCGCGGUGUCCAGCGAGCAAACUUCUCCCUUUUCCGGAUCCCAGCUCCUACCGCCCCGGCCGACCACCUGCCUUCCGGGGUCCCCGCCCCCGCCGCUCCUCCCCCUCCCACCUUGGGAUGAGAGCGAAGUUUCGGGUUACGGGACUCUUAAGAGCUUUUUUUUUUUUUUGGUACCUCCUUGGAUUAGUGUGAAAAGGGGAGCAGAGCCGUACAGCUGUCGCCUACUCUCGACUCCCCAGUUCCUGGCCACCCAGCUCCCCGAUCCCGAGAGGAUCCAGACAUCUCCAGAAAAACGGAGGGAACCCGCCAACAAAGCGGCCGUGGGACCGUGGGCGGUGUGGCAGCCAGGACCCCCCCCCCCCCGGCUCUCUUCACGCCCUAGUAUAGAAAGGAACCCUGGUCCCGCCUCCAGGCUCCAAGCCUGGCCGCUCGGUCCCCACUGCUCACCUCCGCACCCCGCGCCUGCAAAGCCAACUCCGAGGGCCACCCGAGUCCACGCGCCUUCCCAGCUCCUGCUGCGGGCGCCGACUCUCCUCUCACCCCAGCCCCUGGCCCAACCUCCACGGCUGGGAAAAACCAAGCCGGGGGGCGGGGGAGGGCCAGGGCUGCAGGAGAGAUCGCCGCCGCGCUGGCCACCUCUGCUGCCCCAGGUGGAAGCAGAAGGAGCAGAAGUUCCAGCUCACCUUCGGCUACGAGAUGACUUUGAGAUGACCUGGAGAAAGACCCUGUCUUGAAACAAUCCCAGAAAGAAGAGCAGGCUGAGCCAUUGUCAAGCCAGCUCAUCAGACAGAUCACUGGAAGAAAAAAACCUGACAAGACGCCGCAAGAAAAGGAAACCACAGAGCGCGACCACGUAUGAUUGUAGAUGUAACAUCCUUCCGCUAAAUUAAACCUAAUCAAACCCAGAGACAAGCAAAAAUGACUGUAAUCCAUGACUACGCAGGAUUCACAUCUAGGAAUACAAGGAUGCUUAAAUGAAAAGAAAUUGACUGUGGCAAUACAAAUUACCAAUGGAAACAAAAGAAAACAAACAAACAGACAGAAACAAAAUAUGGCCAUACCAUCUGAUGUGGUAGAGUAUUUAGCAAUAUUCACCAUCCAGUCUGAUAAAAGAAAACACCCUGCCUAAUAUAAAUGAAAGAAGUCCCUAUUCUGGUUAAGAGUACCAGAAACCAAACUAAUACCACAAAGAGCACACCUACAAUGGCAUGUAAUGGCAGGAGAUAUGAUUUCCUGUUAUACUGAUGAUGCACAGGGGAGAAUAUGCUGCAGCCUUAAACAUUCAUAAAAUGAAGAGUUAUAUUUUUAAUUUCUUGUGAUUUUUUUUAUAUAAUAAAAAGUCACAUUGUCAGAGAAUAGAGUUGGUCUGUCUCCUCCUGCCUAGUCUGACUGCCUCAUGUUCUUGCCUGAUUGUCUUAUGUGGCAUGCCCAAUACAAUCUUGAAAAAAAGCUAGGUAAGAGCAGACAUCCUUGUUUUGGUAUUUACUAUCAUGUGAAACCAUUCUGUCUUUAAGCAUUAAAUGUUAUCUUAGCUGUGGAGUUUUACUUCUUGCUGCUAUUACUGUUUUUUUAUAUCUCAAUUUAAUAGAAUUUCAUUGACACACU
ensembl:processed_transcript 9330154J02Rik RIKEN cDNA 9330154J02 gene